UUGGGGUUAAAACUUUAGAGUCUUGAGGGAAAGCCUCACUGAGAAGGAAAUUUCUAAAUAAUGCCUUGAAGGAAAUGAGCACCAUCAUAGUGUUUUUCUUAUAUUGCUGUGGUUCAUUGGUCAACAAAACAUCCUGAUUACUUGGAUUUUUCUAAGGGUGAGGUCACUCAAGAAGUAUUUUAAGAAAUGAACAAUAUUGUGUAUUCCCCUUUUCAAUUGGUGCAUAGUACAGGAAGGAUUAUAACCAUUUAAUCAAAUGCCUCUUGUUUGCUAAUGAACUAAAAUAUGCAAUAAGUAUAAUCUGAGUCUACUUUUUCUGUCAAAUACUUUUUAACUUAAUUUGGACAUUUAAACAUUUUAUUUCAGUAGAACUUUUUAAAAGACUCAAAGGGUUUCUAAAGAGUUGAAGAUGUGUCUGUUUGGUAGACAAUAUGAUGUGCACAUGACAGAUUUUACCCAUAGUUCAUAGUGUCAGAUACUGUUACACAAAGGUAACAUAGCUGAUGAUGAAUUUGGAUUAAUAGUAUCAACAAUUUAAAUAGAGAGCGCAGUUUGAGUAUAUUAAGUACCUAUUGCUAAAGAAUUAAAUGUGAGGGAGAUAUGUUUUUUAAAAUAGUACUCUAUACAAAACCUGGCUUUAACAUCUAUUUGGUUUAUUUGAAAUGUAUUCUCUUUCUGAAAUUCUACAGUGAAACAAUUUGUACUUAAUAGAAAUUCCAAAAGGCAGAACAAAUGAAGCUAUGUUAGUUGGCUUACUUUAAAUAAGUGGCAAUGAUAAGAUUAGGAAUUACUGUAAUUGUGUUUGUUUAUAUGUGUAUACUUGUUUCUUUUCUAUUUUUAACAAUUACUUAAAACAUGAAAUGCAGUUUUUCCCCACAUAUUUAAAUUUCUGUCAUUCUAGUCCAUGGUCUGUGUACUUGUUUUGGGUAAGUGACUGAUGUCUAAAGUUGAUAACCUGUCAACUUAAUAGUCUGUUGAAACUGAGUAUCCCAUCAAAGAAAGAACUGAAGUCUAGUAAUAAAAAAUUUAUUUAAAAAAUUUAAUAACAAUUUUUAAUUUAAUAGUAAAAUUUUCAAAGAGCAACAAUGCAACUUUAACUGUUGUCACUAGAGUAACUGGGUAUCCACAUUAAAAUAGUGAAUAAAACAGUUUAUUCAUUUUUAAAAUGAACCCAUA
ensembl:lncRNA